rnacentral:rRNA from 1 species
AUUAGUGGCCAUACCUACUUCUCAAAGCCGAGUCUCAUCUGAUCUCAGAAGCUAAGCGGGGUCGAGCCUGGUUAGUGCUUGAAUGGGGGACCACUGGGAAUACCAAGUGCCACAGUG